UACGGGGGGGGCAAGCGUUGUUCGGAAUUACUGGGCGUAAAGGGCUCGUAGGUGGUCAACUAAGUCAGACGUGAAAUCCCUCGGCUUAACCGGGGAACUGCGUCUGAUACUGGAUGGCUUGAGUUCGGGAGAGGGAUGCGGAAUUCCAGGUGUAGCGGUGAAAUGCGUAGAUAUCUGGAGGAACACCGGUGGCGAAGGCGGCAUCCUGGACCGAUACUGACACUGAGGAGCGAAAGCCAGGGGAGCAAACGGG
rnacentral:rRNA from 1 species